AACUGCAGUGCAAACAACAACACUGGCUACUACAUCAACUCUGUCAAUCAGUUAGUGCAGCAGUGGAGAAAGAGGCUGCAGGAGCUGAAGGCUUUAAAUGGCUCGGGAAAAGCAGCGAUGCAGAAUGGCGGUGGAGGAGGAGGAGGAAUGGGUGCUGCUACCCAGAGAAACACAAACCUUAUCAGGCCAGCCAUGUUCCAACACACGGCAGGAGGAGGAGCAGGAGCAGGAGGAGGAGGAACAGGAGGAGGAAUGGGUGCUUCUAGCCAGACAAACACCAACCUUAUCCAGCCAGCCAUGUUCCAGCACACGGCAGCAGGUGGAGGAGGAGCUGGAGGAGGAAUGGGUACCACUACCCAGAGAAACAAAAACCUUAUCAGGCCAGCCAUGUUCCAGCACACGGCAGGAGGUGGA